AUUGAACGCUGGCGGCAGGCCUAACACAUGCAAGUCGAACGAGUGGCGGACGGGUGAGUAAUAUAUGGGAACCUGCCCGAUAGAGGGGGAUAACUACUGGAAACGGUAGCUAAUACCGCAUACCAUCAGAUGUGCCCAUAUGGGAUGAGCUAGUAGGGGGGGUAAUGGCUCACCUAGGCCACGAUCCCUAGCUGGUUUGAGAGGAUGACCAGCCACACUGGGACUGAGACACGGACCAGACUUCUACGUGAGGCAGCAGUGGGGAAUAUUGCACAAGGGGCGAAAGCCUGAUGCAGCCAUGCCGCGUGUAUGAAGAAGGCCUUCGGGUUGUAAAGCACUUUCAGCGAGGAGGCGUUACCUGCAGAAGAAGCACCGGCUAACUCCGUGCCAGCAGCCGCGGUAAUUC
rnacentral:rRNA from 1 species